UUAUGCACAUUAGGUCAUGAUAACUUUGACACUAAUUUUGCACAUUGGUGAUUCGUCUUCGGCCUUGUCUUGAGAGCAUCGGCCUUGACUCUUCUUACGAGUUUACACCAAUUUUGCACUUCGGUGUCUUGGUGACUUUACACCAAUUUUGCACCUUCUUCUCUUGAUGUUCUUCUAAGUGACCCGAACUUUGCACGGCUAUGAUCAAA
rnacentral:lncRNA from 1 species